rnacentral:rRNA from 1 species
UACGUGGGGGGCAAGCGUUGUUUGGAAUUAUUGGGCGUAAAGGGCGCGUAGGCGGUUUUGCAAGUCUUGUGUGAAAUCUUCAGGCUCAACUUGAAGACUGCACGAGAAACUGCAGGGCUUGAGUGUGGGAGAGGUGAGUGGAAUUCCGGGUGGAGCGGUGAAAUGCGUAGAGAUCCGGAGGAACACCGACGGCGUAGGCAGCGCCCUGGACGACACCUGACGCUGAUGCACGAAAGCUAGGGGAGCAAACAGG